GCACUAGUAGCUCAGAACAGAGCGCCGACCUUGUAAGCCGGAGGCCGGAGGUUAAAUUCCUCCCUAUUGUU
rnacentral:tRNA from 1 species